rnacentral:rRNA from 1 species
CUACGGGAUGCAGCAGUGAGGAAUAUUGCACAAUGGGGGGAACCCUGAUGCAGCAACGCCGCGUGGAGGAUGACGCAUUUCGGUGUGUAAACUCCUUUUAUAUGUCAAGAAAAUGACGGUAGCAUAUGAAUAAGCACCGGCUAACUCCGUGCCAGCAACCGCGGUAGUACGGAGGGUGCAAGCGUUACUCGGAAUCACUGGGCGUAAAGGACGCGUAGGCGGGUUGGAAAGUCAGGUGUGAAAUCCUACAGCUUAACUGUAGAACUGCACUUGAAACUUCUAAUCUAGAGUAUGGGAGGGGGAGAUGGAAUUAGUGGUGUAGGGGUAAAAUCCGUAGAUAUCACUAGGAAUACCUAAAGCGAAGGCGAUCUCCUGGAACAUUACUGACGCUAAGGCGUGAAAGCGUGGGGAGCAAACAGGAUUAGAUACCCGCGUAGUC